rnacentral:rRNA from 1 species
ACCGGCAGUAGCUGCAUGUAUAUGUUCGUUAGAGCCUAUUACAUGCGCGGAAAGGCGCCCAUUAGUGCGUCACCCCCAGGGGGUAUGAAUAACCUUAUGAUUGGUCCUCCUGCGGGUGCCUUGGUCCGGGGCUGUUUUUUUCCCGGGGCACAUACCCGGCGCAGGCAACAAUUUGUUAACAUUAUGAUUGGGUUUGGGAGUUGUAAAAUCUCUUGUGUCCCGCCCCCAUGAACACCUACGGAAAAUGCGAUAAGUAAUGUGAAUUGCAGAAUUCAGUGAAUCAUCGAAUCUUUGAACGCACAUUGCGCCCGCCAGUAUUCUGGCGGGCAUGCCUGUCCGAGCGUCAUUUCAACCCUCGAACCCCUCCGGGGGGUCGGCGUUGGGGAUCGGCCCUGCCUUGGCGGUGGCCGUCUCCGAAAUACAGUGGCGGUCUCGCCGCAGCCUCUCCUGCGCAGUAGUUUGCACACUCGCAUCGGGAGCGCGGCGCGUCCACAGCCGUUAAACACCCAACUUCUGAAAUGUUGACCUCGGAUCAGGUAGGAAUACCCGCUGAACUUAAGCAUAUCAAUAAAGACGGGAAGAAUG